AUUUAAAAAAAAAAUUUGGGGGGGGGGGUCUCUCUCUCUCUCUCUCUCUCUCUCUCUCUCUCUAAAUCUAGAGAGUGAGAGAGAGAGAGAGAGAGAGAGAGAGAUCGUUAAAAUGUCCCCAUAAAGGGAUAAUGAAAA